AAGAUGACAAGCCUCCUGACGGAUAGACACACCGAGACCUCGCUGGUGAUUUAUUGGCUUUCUGCACCUGACGAGAACCACUAGUCCCAUCUGAGGAGGAAAAUAUAUGGGCUUUCCUGACUCCAAGUGGCAGUCGCGGGGCGAGCAUGUGAUCUCAAGCUGGGCAGGAAAAGCAGAGCUGUGCACCGGCCUGUGUUUUGUAAGCGGGCCCGGGUCAUAAAAGUGUCAGCACGCGAUAUAUUUCUUGCGGGGGAUCCUCUCUGGGCUCCCGCCAGCUCCUUCUCUCCAGCGGCUGGCAGCCUGAGCCGGGCGAGGGUGCGCCCUGAGGCCGCCCGCGAGCCCUCUGCACUGCCCCCCAGCGCAAGGCUGGGAUGGGGGCGGUCGGCAGCCGCGGGGCACUCUGGGCCCACAGGUCUGGAUUCUCUGGUAAUCACAUGCGGCCCCGGGGGAAUGCAGCGCAGGGCUGGAGUCUGACCUGAGUGGAAUUCUGGACCUAGCUCAUUAGAUGGGGCAUCAUAAGCAAGUUACUUAAUUCCCUGUAUCUGCUCCCAGGUAAAUGGGAAUGAUAAUAAUAUACACUGAAUAUGAUAGGACAAUGACUUAUUUAGGAAGUAAAGUUCCAACCCAGCUCUCACGGAUGACAUUACUAGAAAGCAGCUAGAAAAAGGGGCCAGGGGCCGGUGUGGAUGGGUCACAGGAGGUGAGCAGGGGAAUGCUGAGGAUGAGGCUGUGCGCUAAUGGUAUGGAUUUCACUGUUCUCUGAUGGCCCUGUCAUCCAAUUCACCACAGUAUUAUAUUAGUAUAUGUAGCAGGGCUUCUGUUAGGGCAAAUAUAAAAUUUGCUUUCACUUAUGUCUACAAGUAGAGACUCCGGAUCAUCUAGAGGAUUCAGUUUUUCUCUAGGGGAGAAAAAAAAAAAGUAAUUUGAAGGUCUUUCUUGGUUAUGUAAAUGCAGAGACCUGCCAUGUUCUGAACUUUGGAGAUGAGAGAACCCUUUGGAGAGAAGAAAACCAGGGCAAGGUUGCAAGUCCUUAAAUUCUCUAGCUUGCAAAGCUAAUCCCUGAAGAGGAGGUGUAUCAAUAUGUAAAGGGAGCACAAGAACCUUCUGGGAGAGAAAAUGCCAAGGCUCCCAACUCCUGCUUCCCAAGAUUUGAAAACAAGAAGACCUGAGACGGUGGUGCUCCCAACCAAGGUCUAGGGACCAAGAGGGACAGCUGGGCCACAGAAAUAAACUUAAGGAAAAGAGAAGCCCAGGUUCAUAAUCCCAACUCAAUACAAUAGCCAAAAGAAAUGCAGAGGAGGUCCAAUGUUGACACAACGUGGUGUUUUUCUAGAACCACCUGCUUGGCAUAGUGCUUGCAUCUAGGGGGAAAAGUGGCUGAACAUGACAAUGUGAACUUAAAAUCUCUAUGAACAGGAUAGGCACAUUCGACACCACCAACUAAUGACAUUCCACCAGGCUAACCCAUGUUAGCUUCUAAGCUGGGAGAUUCCACAUUCUAAAGCAUAAGCAAGGGCAACAAGACGAAAAGCAGUAGCCAAGUGAUCAGACUCUAUGUCUUACAUCUUCAGUGUAAGUUCUCAACAUUCUCAGACAACUCAGGGUGAGAAUGGGGGCUAAGAAGAGGACACAGGAUUUACUGUUCACAAGAUAAAACAUUUUAUGGGUAAAUGUUCCACUGGAUGAUUUCAUAUAAAUAAAGAGAAAAAAAUGAAGCCAGUAAAGCUACAACAAUAAAAGUCAUACUAUGAAGUAGGUGUGCAAGAUCAGUCCAUAGCCUUGCCCGCAUCAUCAAGCUAGGAGAUCCCAAGGUCAGUUUGGAAAUUUUCCCAGAAGCCUUACAUGAUGCCUCCUCUUUGACUUCCAUGAGUUGUGUGAACAUGGAGACCCUCCCCAUCUUUGUACAGCCCAGCCCUCCAGACCAUGGUGUGUACAGUCCAAGAAGACAGUGAUCCAAGAGAAGGUGGCCAAGGUACACUGAGUUCUGGCAUAUUCUUGGAGACUCGGCAACUCUAAUUUAGCAUCCCAACAAGAAUGCAAAGAAAAGAUCUAGGGUCUGGAGAGGAGUCAAGGGAAAGGCUUGAUGUGUGAUUUGAGGACACAGGCAUCUGGGAGGGCAGCCGAGAGAAUCUUCAUGAACCCAGCCAUGAGAAGCAUCCUAGGACCACACUGUGAGCCCAGCUUUCCAAGGCACCAAGCUUCCCUAGAGAAGCAAAGCUGUAGGGUAGAAUGUCUGAGAUGCGGAGGUGUGGGUUGGCCAGACUGAGGGUGAUAUGACCCUGUGCAAGAAACUGAAUGCCUCUGACCUUCGUCCUUCACCUGUUCCCAGUCCAAAAGUCCCGGCCAUCCCACAAAAAUAUCUAUGUUUUUAUCCAAGUGAUAAGAAAACAGUAUUUACAUAAUGCCUAAAUUUUUCCCAAAGACAUUUUUAGAUUAUCACAAUAUCCAAAAUGUUCAUUUUGUUUGUACUUGCCUUAUGGACCUCUGUGGUAAAAUUCAA